rnacentral:rRNA from 1 species
GACGAACGCUGGCGGCGUGCUUAACACAUGCAAGUCGAACGAUGAAGAAGAGCUUGCUCUUCGGAUUAGUGGCGAACGGGUGAGUAACACGUGACUAACCUGCCCCUUUCUCUGGGAUAACGCUCCGAAAGGAGUGCUAAUACCGGAUACUCACAUCGAGGCACAUGCCUUGAUGUGGAAAGUUUUUCGGAAAGGGAUGGAGUCGCGGCCUAUCAGCUUGUUGGUGAGGUAACGGCUCAUCAAGGCGACGACGGGUAGCCGGCCUGAGAGGGCGACCGGCCACACUGGGACGGAGACACGGACCAGACUCCUACGGGAGGCAGCAGUGGGGAAUAUUGCACAAUGGGCGCAAGCCUGAUGCAGCAACGCCGCGUGAGGGAUGACGGCCUUCGGGUUGUAAACCUCUUUUAGUAGGGAAGAAGCGAAAGUGACGGUACCUGCAGAAAAAGCACCGGCUAACUACGUGCCAGCAGCCGCGGUAA